rnacentral:rRNA from 1 species
GGAGAAGUGAAAAAUUCGUCAUACUUUAAAAAAAGUAACGAAUUGUAUUAAAAUUGAAUAAAGCUUUGUUUAUAUACCGAUAAUGACGGUAUAUAUAUUGUGUCUUGACCAAUUACGUGCCAGCAGUCGCGGUAAUACGUAAGAGACUAGUGUUAUUCAUCUUAAUUAGGUUUAAAGGGUACUUAGACGGUCAAUAUAUCAUAUAUGAUAGUACUUGACUAGAGUUUUAUAUAAGAAGGCAGUACUUGAGGUGGAGAGAUGAAAUUCAAUGAUACCAAAGGGACUCGGUAAAGGCGCAGGCAGCCUUUUAUGUAAUAACUGACGUUGAAGGACGAAGGCACAGAUCACAAAAAGGAAUAGUAUCCCCAGUAGUCUUUGCAGUCAAUGAUGAAUGCCAUAGGUUAGAUUUAAGAUUUUGAGUAUUUAUUCCUCAGUAAAGAAUAAGUUUCGAAACGAUAUUUAGUCUAUAAAUGAAAGUGUAAGCAUUUCACCUCAAGAGUAAUGUGGCAACGCAGGAACUGAAAUCACUAGACCGUUUCUGACACCAGUAGUGAAGUAUGUUGUUUAAUUCGAUGAUCCACGAAAAACCUUACCACAAUUUGUAUAUUUUACAGGAGUUGCACGGCUGUCUACAGUUAAUGUUGUGAAACAGUGGUUCUCCCAUGAAAUUAACGUAAUCCCUUACUUUAUUUUUGGAGUAUUAACUAUAAAGUAUUUGAUCCUGGAAUUUGGAAAGAAAAAAGGGACUAAGACAAGUCAUCAUGGCCUUGAUAUUGUGGGCUAUAGACGUGCCACAUAUGCCUAC